rnacentral:rRNA from 1 species
ACGAACGCUGGCGGCAUGCCUAACACAUGCAAGUCGAACGAGACCUUCGGGUCUAGUGGCGCACGGGUGCGUAACGCGUGGGAACCUGCCCUUAGGUUCGGAAUAACUCCCCGAAAGGGGUGCUAAUACCGGAUAAUGUCUUCGGACCAAAGAUUUAUCGCCUUUGGAUGGGCCCGCGUUGGAUUAGCUAGUUGGUAGGGUAAAAGCCUACCAAGGCGACGAUCCAUAGCUGGUCUGAGAGGAUGAUCAGCCACACUGGGACUGAGACACGGCCCAGACUCCUACGGGAGGCAGCAGUGGGGAAUAUUGGACAAUGGGCGAAAGCCUGAUCCAGCAAUGCCGCGUGAGUGAUGAAGGCCUUAGGGUUGCAAAGCUCUUUUACCCGGGAUGAUAAUGACAGUACCGGGAGAAUAAGCUCCGGCUAACUCCGUG